GACGGAGGGUGCAAGCGUUGCUCGGAAUCAUUGGGCGUAAAGGGUGCGUAGGCGGCUUCUUAAGUCUGACGUGAAAGCCCAGGGCUCAGCCUUGGAAGUGCGUUAGAAACUGAGAAGCUUGAGUGCCGGAGGGGAGAGUGGAAUUCCUGGUGUAGCGGUGAAAUGCGUAGAUAUCAGGAGGAAUACCGGUGGCGAAAGCGACUCUCUGGACGGCAACUGACGCUGAGGCACGAAAGCGUGGGUAGCAAACAGG
rnacentral:rRNA from 1 species